UACGUAGGGUGCAAGCGUUAAUCGGAAUUACUGGGCGUAAAGCGUGCGCAGGCGGUGAUGUAAGACAGAUGUGAAAUCCCCGGGCUCAACCUGGGAACUGCAUUUGUGACUGCAUCGCUGGAGUACGGCAGAGGGGGAUGGAAUUCCGCGUGUAGCAGUGAAAUGCGUAGAUAUGCGGAGGAACACCGAUGGCGAAGGCAAUCCCCUGGGCCUGUACUGACGCUCCAUGCACGAAAGCGUGGGGAGCAAACAGG
rnacentral:rRNA from 1 species